GACAGAGGGUGCAAACGUUGUUCGGAAUUACUGGGCGUAAAGCGUGUGUAGGCGGCCACGUAAGUCAGGUGUGAAAGCCCCGGGCUCAACCCGGGAAGUGCACUUGAUACUGCGUGGCUUGAGUACUGGAGAGGUUGGUGGAAUUCUCGGUGUAGAGGUGAAAUUCGUAGAUAUCGAGAGGAACACCGGUGGCGAAGGCGGCCAACUGGACAGAUACUGACGCUGAGACACGAAAGCGUGGGGAGCAAACAGG
rnacentral:rRNA from 1 species